GCAGACACAUUCCAGCCAAUCAGCAGCAGACCCUCCCUCCCAGACCCUCCCACCUCCUGGACAGCUCACUAAGAAUGCAGCUUCACAAUGAAUGGAUGCUGUCCAGGAGGUGGGAGGGUCUGGGAGGGAGGGUCUGCUGCUGAUUGGCUGGAAUGUGUCUG